AUGACUGCACAGCCAUUAAGGAUCAAAUCAGUUUCUGAAAAAUGUUCUGUUUUUCCUCCCUCUGCUUGCUUCUUACUGUCUUUGAGGCUCGGGACCAGCACUCCUGCUGUUGGACAGAAAGACAUCAACUUGAGAUAUGACUGCACUAUGCUGUUGCUGGUGACCACAGUUAAUUCUACAAGACAUGCUGUGACACCAGGAGAGAUGAGUCCUCCGUCACAGAUGGUGUGGUCAGUGAAGAUGGUCGCCUGCAGGUUCAAGCUCAUUGCAUCUCCAACCCACAUCCACUGCCACUGUACUUAAGGGAAGUUAAAGACUUUCUUCUGCACCUACAUUUGGAUCACCUCGAUCCAUGACAGUCAUUCAGGCAGUAAUGCCUGGACUGGAAACAAGCAUCCUUAAAAUAAUACAACAUUCCAGCUCAUGUGUUGGAAUGAAAAACAAAUGUGUUGUUUAAAUUAGAGACUGCACUUGUGACAGAACAAUAAAUAUUUUAUUUUGAUUAUAUAAGUAAUGUAAGUACAAAACAAACUUGUGGUAGGCCUAAACUUAUUUUCAGAAUAAUUACAUCUGAGACUUUGUUUCAUUGUAAGAUUAUAACAGUGAUGGCAAUAUAAUUGUUUGUUGUUCAGCAGAACAGUGUCCAGUAUGUUGGCUGUUAUACUUUGUUGUGUUUGAAAAUAAAAGUUGGGCUGAUUUUAACAUCAUCACAAAAAGUGUUGUUAAUUAUUUUUAGUCAUAUUCAGGUUACCACAAAUUGUUUUUUCAUUUAGUUGAACUUGAAAUAUUUGUCAGUAGGUAAACAAUUAGUAUUGUACAGUCAGAAAUAUCAAGUUAUUCUUAAUACUGCAGACUUGCAAUGUAUAAGUUGUCCUAACAGUCAUCUUAAGUAAGCUUUACUUAGUUUUUUAGAGGCAACGAGUUUGCAUUUUUUUUUUUAGUUCUGUGAACUAAUUAGAUUUUACAGUGUGACACAGACAGCCAUUCACACAUUCACAUCAGUUAACCGAACCCCACUCACUGCAUGUCUGUGGGAGGAAGCCGGAGUACCCAGGAGAACUCACACAAACACGGAGAGAGCAUGAGAACUCCACACAGACCCCGCCGCCACCAUGGACCUGAACUCAGGAGCAUGUUGCUGUGAGGCAACUGUGCUAACUGCUUUUAUUACAGGGAUGGGCUUUCCGAGCAUGUGUAGGAAUAUUCUGUGGUGCACGGUCAUCCACAACCAGAGAGCUCGUGGCUCCAUCCUGUCAACAUGAUAAUGCAAGAUACUGAACCCCUUCUACAUCUGUGUGUGUGUGUGUGUGUGUGUGCGUGUGUGUGUGUGUGUGUGUGUUAGUUACAGCAGUUAAAGGCACUGGAUAAAACGUUCUAUAAAAAGCUGAAUGUGAAAAUAGAAAACAAUAGAAAAGAAGCAGCUGCUUCCUUCCAGCUGUCAGUUUGAGCUGCUGCUUGUGGAGAACAAACGCUCCACGCCGCUGUUCAUUUCUGCAGCUGUAAACAGAAAUUCUAGAGUUUGCAGGCCUUCACUGGGAAACAGGCAAGAACUACAGUUGGAGUUAAUCAGUUGAUGGACCUGUAGCCCUGGCACAAAUGUAAGUUGUAAAGUCAAAACUUUUCUACUUCGUACAACACGCCUCAUUCUUACAGGCACUUUCUUCUUUAUGUAAAUGUUUUCUGUUUAACAUCACACACUGAUGGAUGCAUCAGAGUGACAUGUGGUUAGUAUCUGGCCCAAAGGUAUUUGGGAUGCAAACUGGAGUAGCCAGGAAUUGAACCACAAACCUUCCAGUCUGCUCUCCCUCCUGAGCUGCAUCCACCCUGUGUGUGUGUCAGUGUGCACGCGGGUGCACGGAGAUUUCUCUCUGCAACAUGAUCAGUGCACAUAAACAGCCUCAUUCUGCUGACAGUCGCAAAAAGACUGACGACAUGAAAACACACACACGUGCACACACACACCCUGGAGUUACUCGUCCUGCUGCUUUAUUGAUUCGGAGACGACACCAGAGUCUCUGUCAUGGAUCUGCUGCUCGCCUGGUUUGCUCAUAGAGAAAGAGGCAGAGAGACCCCCAGAGGCUCUGAGGCUGACUGGGAGCUGUGUGCAAAACCACACAAACCCAGUAACUGCUGCAUCUCACAGUCUGAACUGAAAGCAAGAAUAAACUCGUACCCAUUUUUAAAAGCUUCAAGCGACGACUGCAUCAUCCCCAAAUACAGAUGUGAUGUAGACUUUUACUUUGCUGCUGUUACCUUCCUCAAUGUGACCACAUGAGCUGCUGUAAAUCCUGGAGGCUGACACAUCAGGCAAAUAUUGUAUAUUAUAAAUAUAAAUAUAUAAAUAUAAUAUAAAAGUAAAUAAAUGUAUUAUUAAAUAUUGUGUUUUAUUCAAAAAGUGAUGUCGUUCAGUUAAUGUUAGGUUAGGGUGCGUGGAUCGUCAACCCCGUGUUUUGUGUUUUUGCUUCUUUGAUUUUGUUUAUUUCAUUAUAUUCUAACUUUCUUUGUCUUAUGGGUUAUUGGAUUAUUCUAAGUUUAGGUUCUCUGUGUGGGUUUUGUUAGAGCUUAGUCUUCUGGGUUUCUCCCCUGUCUGCUGUAUCCAUCUCAUGGCUGAAUACGUCUUCAGCCAUGUAAAUAUGAAAGUCUCCCUGAGAUCAGCCAAGAACAGCUCAUGAUUCAGCAGCCUGUGAGCCUUUAGCAGCAGUAAUGUGUCAGGGUCACUUCAUCAGUCUGUCACAUUAUUA
ensembl:lncRNA